rnacentral:rRNA from 1 species
CCUANGGGUGGCAGCAGUGAGGAAUCUUCCGCAAUGGGCGAAAGCCUGACGGAGCGACACCGCGUGGAGGACGAAGGCCUUUUGGUUGUAAACUCCUUUUUUGAGGGAAUAAUUGAUGAAGUUACCUCAAGAAUAAGCACCGGCUAACUACGUGCCAGCAGCUGCGGUAAUACGUAGGGUGCAAGCGUUAUCCGGAAUUAUUGGGCGUAAAGCGUUCGCAGGCGGUUUGGUAAGUUUGUGGUUAAAUCUGGCCGCUCAACGGUCAACAUGCCAUAAAAACUGCUUAACUAGAGGAUGACAGAGGCAACUGGAAUUCUGCGUGUAGGGGUAAAAUCCGUUGAUACGCAGAGGAACACCAAAAGCGAAGGCAGGUUGCUGGGUCAUCUCUGACGCUGUUGAACGAAAGCGUGGGUAGCAAACAGGAUUAGAUACCCUANUANUC